rnacentral:lncRNA from 1 species
AUGGUGCUGAUCUACGGCAAUGGCCGCGCGGAGGUCGUCUGGACCAUCAGCCAAGGGCCAGGGCCGGACCGCUUCGUCGAAGCCGUCCACGGGACCGACGCCUACUUCGCCCACUUGGAGCCGACCGCCGGCUUGGCGGACACCCUGGCGCUCGGCCAGAACCUGCGCGUCGACCAAGGGUUACCGACCCCUCCCACCCUACGGAACUCCGCCGUCCAGCUCCCGAGCACCGCCAGGACCCCAGCAUCCAUACCAGAGCGCAGAGUGUUGCUUCCCCUAGACGAGUUCUUGAACCUUGUGAGCAUCACACUUGUCUCCAGGAACCGCUAGGCCCAGUGGGCUUCGCCCGCCCCGCCGUUCCGCUCGCAAUAAAUCUGCUCUAUUUGGCCA